AACGCACCUUGCACCUUCUGGUAUUCCGGAAGGUACACCUGUUUGAGUGUCAUUAAAUUCUCAACCAUUUCAGCUUUAUUGCUUGUUAUGGCUUGGAUGUGAGGGCUUGCUGGCUAUUCUAGUGGUUGGCUCCCUUUAAAUGUAUUAGCUGGAGAUUAGUAAUAAAGUGUUUAAGCUCUUCAAUGCUUGAAUGUCUCCUGGUGUUGGUAAUUAUCUGCGCCGUUGGCUUAGUUGUUGAGUAUGGCAGCAUAUGAACAUCUUUGCUUUCUAAUGGUCUCGAUUGUGAGACUAGUCCACUCUUGGACUACUUAAUGACUAUUGUGACCUCAGAUCAGGUGGGAUUACCCGCUGAACUUAA
rnacentral:misc_RNA from 1 species